CGCUGUCGUAGGAAGCUCCCUCGCGUCAUGUGAAAGCUCUGUGGUCGUCGCCGUCUCGCGGUGUCACCAUUUUCUCUAUUGUCGCCGUCACUCUCCUUCCUCCUCGCCGCCGCUAUUUCAUUGAGUGGGUAAGGAUAGAAGCUACAGGAGGAAGGGUCAUACAUUGGUAAGGGUACCGAUUUCUUGGUGUUUUGGCAAUGUCAAGAUCCAUAGGUAUGUAUCUGCCUUUGGCAUCUCUACAGCAUAUUUAUAUCAAUGUAGUUGGAAUUGAAGUAAUGCUAGUUAUUGUAAAUUUUUUUUUAUAAGGGUUAUGGUUUCUUGUAAAAUGAAUAAAAUGGUACAAUCUUUAUAUAGGACACUACAAAAAAGUAUUUUUUUUUUUGCUACAAAAUAUAGCAUUAUAGUGCAAUUAGUCUAAUCAUUUUAGUUCUUGUCCAAUAGGUGAUAGGUACUUGAAACAUUUCAUACAUAGUCACCCAUGUUCGAAUCUCAACAUGCACUGCACAAAGUGUAAGGAUUAAAAGAUAAAAUUACCUGUUCAUAGCCAGUAGCUUCAGUUUGAAGACUGGCACCAGACCAAAAUAUCCUUGGCCCUGUAAAACUUCCUUGCAUAAGUAAGGCAUACAUAUGAAAAAUGCAUAAAAAUAUUUUUUUUUUAAAAAAAGAGAGUUUUCUGUCAUGAAUUCAAACUUAAUCAAUAUCUCAAUAUAUCAUGUUCCUGAACUGAUUAGAUAUGUUACACACUGCACCGUAUUCAAAUCGUAUUGAUUUGGAGAAGAAGUAAAGAUUCAAUUUUUAGUAUUUAAGUAAAUUAUACAAUUAUCCAUUUUGGGCUAUAAUUUGAAUAGCUUAACCAUAGUUAACAUAACAACCAAUUAAAGAGUGACAUGUCAUAAAGGGUAAUUUACAUGUUAUUAUAGGAAGAGUAGAAUAAAAUUUACCUU